GACGAACGCUGGCGGCGUGCCUAAUACAUGCAAGUAGAACGCACAGUUUAUACCGUAGCUUGCUACACCAUAGACUGUGAGUUGCGAACGGGUGAGUAACGCGUAGGUAACCUGCCUGGUAGCGGGGGAUAACUAUUGGAAACGAUAGCUAAUACCGCAUAAUAUUGAUUAUUGCAUGAUAAUUGAUUGAAAGAUGCUAUUGCAUCACUACCAGAUGGACCUGCGUUGUAUUAGCUAGUAGGUGAGGUAACGGCUCACCUAGGCGACGAUACAUAGCCGACCUGAGAGGGUGAUCGGCCACACUGGGACUGAGACACGGCCCAGACUCCUACGGGAGGCAGCAGUAGGGAAUCUUCGGCAAUGGACGAAAGUCUGACCGAGCAAAGCCGCGUGAGUGAAGAAGGUUUUCGGAUCGUAAAGCUCUGUUGUAAGAGAAGAACGGGUGUGAGAGUGGAAAGUUCACACUGUGACGGUAUCUUACCAGAAAGGGACGGCUAACUACGUG
rnacentral:rRNA from 1 species